GUAUAUUAGCUUUGGUUGUACGUAAUCUAAAAUUGGAAUAAUACAGGGAAGAUUAGAAUGGCCUCUGUGCAAGGAUGACACAAAUUUGUGAAGCAUUCCAUAUUUCC